rnacentral:rRNA from 1 species
UACAGAGGUGGCAAGCGUUGUUCGGAAUUACUGGGCGUAAAGGGCGCGUAGGCGGCCUUCUAAGUCAGACGUGAAAUCCCCCGGCUUAACCUGGGAACUGCGUCUGAUACUGGGUGGCUUGAAUCCGGGAGAGGGAUGCGGAAUUCCAGGUGUAGCGGUGAAAUGCGCAGAUAUCAGGAGGAACACCGGUGGCGAAGGCGGGUCUCUGGGCCGAUACUGACGCUGAGGAGCGAAAGCGUGGGAGCGAACAGG